GGAAGUAAAAGUCGUAACAAGGUCUCCGUUGGUGAACCAGCGGAUGCUGCCUGUGAUAGUUUACAACUCCCAAACCCCUGUGAACAUACCACUUGUUGCCUCGGCGGAUCAGCCCGCUCCCGGUAAAACGGGACGGCCCGCCAGAGGACCCCUAAACUCUGUUUCUAUAUGUAACUUCUGAGUAAAACCAUAAAUAAAUCAAAACUUUCAACAACGGAUCUCUUGGUUAUGCUCGUAGUGAAGAACGCAGCAAAAUGCGAUAAGUAAUGUGAAUUGCAGAAUUCAGUGAAUCAUCGAAUCUUUGAACGCACAUUGCGCCCGCCAGUAUUCUGGCGGGCAUGCCUGUUCUCGCGUCAUUUCAACCCUCAAGCACAGCUUGGUGUUGGGACUCGCGUUAAUUCGCGUUCCCCAAAUUGAUUGGCGGUCACGUCGAGCUUCCAUAGCGUAGUAGUAAAACCCUCGUUACUGGUAAUCGUCGCGGCCACGCCGUUAAACCCCAACUUCUGAAUGUUGACCUCGGAUCAGGUAGGAAUACCCGCUGAACUUAAGCAUAUCAAUAAGCGGAGGAUGAGACAGUGCUCGCCUGAGAUAGAUGCGGGCCUGUAGAGAUGCCUGUAGAUGCUGCUGAUUAGUCCGUGAUAGUGCUCGCUGAUAG
rnacentral:rRNA from 1 species